rfam:Diaporthe helianthi strain 7/96 Scaffold_4514.1, whole genome shotgun sequence.
UCCCUCGUGGCGCAAUUGGCAAGCGCGUUCGACUGUUAAUCGAGAGGUUGUUGGUUCGAGCCCAACCGAGGGAG